CGUAGGUGGCAAGCGUUGUCCGGAAUUACUGGGCGUAAAGCGUGCGCAGGCGGUUUUUGUAAGUCUGUCGUGAAAUCCCCGGGCUCAACCUGGGAAUGGCGAUGGAGACUGCAAGGCUAGAGUUUGGCAGAGGGGGUAGAAUUCCACGUGUAGCAGUGAAAUGCGUAGAUAUGUGGAGGAACACCGAUGGCGAAGGCAGCCCCCUGGGUCAAAACUGACGCUCAUGCACGAAAGCGUGGGGAGCAAACAGGAUUAGAUACCCUGGUAGUCCACGCCCUAAACGAUGUCUACUAGUUGUCGGGUCUUAAUUGACUUGGUAACGCAGCUAACGCGUGAAGUAGACCGCCUGGGGAGUACGGUCGCAAGAUUA
rnacentral:rRNA from 1 species